GUGAGGAGCAGUCUUCUUUCAGAGAAAGGUCAUGCCUGCCUUAGAAGUCAUCCAUCAGAGAAGACCAUUUAUUACUUUGAUUUUAAAAUGAAACACCAUUUUGCUGCAAGCACUCCAUGGCUUUAUCUAGCGCUGACAACCACACAACCUGGCAAUCUAUAAAAGGACAAAAUUCAUAGCUGAUGUGCACACUCCAGACAAUAUUUUGCACUAGAAAUGGAAACACUUAGAAUCUUCACAUUCCCCAAAAAGAGGAAGAAAUGUUUUGGAACUCGUGAAAUAGUAGUCCCUCUUUGCUGUUCAUCAAAGCAAUACAGGAGAAGAGCCAGCAUGUGUACAAUCAGAGUCCUCAUUUCCAGAUGACGCUAAAUCUAGCCUUCCAGGACAGAAAGGAGGUUGCCAAGAUGUGCAAAGGUAAAGGUUCCCCUUGCACAUACGUGUUUGCCGACUCUAGGGGGCGAUGCUCAUCUCCGUUUCAAAGCCGAAGAGCCAGCGCUGUCCAAAGACGUCUCUGUGAUCAUGUGGCCGACAUGGCUCAAUGCCAAAGGCGCACAGAACGCUGUUACCUUCCCACCAAAGGUUGUCCCUAUUUUUUCUAUUUUGGUGCUCUUUAGUGAUCUGCUUAUCUACUGUGAGUUGCAACUACAAUCUCAGGCUUUAUUUAUGUCUCAGUUAGAAUAGGCUUUCUGUAUUUGCCACUGCAAUUUAUAAUAAACGUUGGGUAAUAAACCUAUACAGGUUUGAGUAUAUAGAAAAUAUUCAAGGUCAGUUGCCUACUAAACUUCCUAAGUGUAGUGCAAUGACCUACAGGCCAGAAACUCAUCAGUUGAGAAACUGCUGUCUGAAGAAAGGGUUUGUUAAUAUCACAAGGAUAAAAAGUGUUUCAGGGAUAUAUAUUCCAGAGUUUAUCCAAUACUUUCAAAGAAUAAAUAAUGAAGGCCAGUAAUUAGGAGAUCUUUAGAGUGUCUCAGAUUAACGAUAUUUCAAAUAUUUUGGUACAUAUGUGGGCAUACUGAAGACACAGAUAUUAAUUUUGUAAGCCAUCCAGAAUCACCUCAUGGGUAGAUGAGGUGAUUAAUUAUAUUAAUUAAUUAAUUUGCUACCUUAGAGGUUUUCUGCUUGUCUGACUCAGACAGAUGAGGAUUCAUACCUAUCAGGAGGUAAAGCAAGAGGAGAUAUAGUGGCAAAUGUUGUCUGCUAAAACUCCCUUUCUGUGGGCAAUCUGCACUCUAAAAUUAGGACAAUCCCACAGAGUUGUCCAAAAUAAAUAAAUAAAUAAAUAGUUAGCAAAAACUGCUCCUUCUAACUUGCAAAAACUUUGACUUGCAAAACUAUCGUUGUCUAUUUUACUGAAUAUAUCAAUGUAUUGUGAUUGUUAUUGUCUGCAACAAAACAGAUAGCUACAACUUUUCCCAAGACUAUAGGUUGCCUUCCACUGCUGCUGCAAACCUUAGAAAAAAUGGGUUUAGGGUAAGAUGUUGCAGAGAUGUAUUCUAUUUAUAUUCCUUUUUGUCAGAAUCCAAAGCACAACACAGUCCUAAUAAAAGCACAUUCCUAAAAUAUCAAAGUAUUACUUUACAGGGAAAGUCUACAGUCUUAUUUGAAAGUAGCCCUGGUCAACAAACAUCAUUAAGCUUGGUGUAGAUUGAAACAAAUAUAUAAUUAAUUUCAGAGGAACAGCAGGAACAGCACGGGAAGGGAAGCAGGAACAGAACAUGUAGAACAUCAGCUGCAGUGGUUUUGAUCCAAGCCAAUUUGUUUCUUUUCUCCUUUAUUUUAAAAACAAAAACAAAACUACACUCAGAAUCUUACAAAAGGAAGAGGGACAGAAAGAUUCCUGGAUGGGUGGACUAAGAGCAAUGGGGAUCAACCUCAGAGAGCUGCUUCUGGGAUAUCCCCACUAUGGAAGCCAUUUUGAAAGCAGACAAGCCUAUUCCAUCACACUCCAUUUUUGUCCCAGGCAGCCAUUGUGUAAAUAACAUUUAAUCAGUGGAAUAUCUUGCCUUCGGAAAUCAUGGGUGCUCCAUCAUUGGGGGCUGGACUAGAAGACCUCCAAGACCCUUCCAGCUCUAUUCUAUUCAUUUCACUUCUCGUUCAAGAAGUGAAAUGAAUAGAAUAGUGGUUUAAGGGGAAUGGAAGGAUUUGUAUUUUUACAGUCAUCUGAUUGUUGGCACUCUGAGGAUCAGUCAUUAGCUCUCUGAGAGUUGUUGAGGUCACUUGGGGGUUUAUUUGCAUCCUCAAAGGCACCUAAAUCAGAGUGCAAAUAGGUAUGAAACCUUCUUGGGACUGUUGAAAAGACUAUGUUGCAAACAGGUGGUGUAAUAUCUCUCCCCCUCUGCUGAGGGAAGACUGUUCAAUUUUGACAUAGAUGGCCUCUUAUCCUUCUGUUUCAAACAGAAGAGUGUUAACGACCAGAUGACUGCAAAGAAUAUAAAUCCUUCCAUUCCCCUCCAGUCAGUUAGAACUGAAGAAGCUUCCUGGAUAAGAAGCUAAAUGUUUUAAAUAUUUUUUUUAAAAAGUCUAGUUGUAUUUUGGAAAAAACACCUUUGGGCAAUCAUGACCUGGAUGAUUGAGACUCUCCAUAGACAUUGUAAAAUAACAUUCACAGUGUGUUCUUUAGAUUCCAAACUUAUAAACUAACCCUAAGAAAAAGGUUACCUGUCUUUUUCUAGGAACUAAAGAUAAUUGUCUCAUUUUAAAUAGAACAACAGUGAAGUGUAUACUUUCUGAACUCAGGUUAACCUUCAAAAUUGCAUGAUUAUAGUAAAGAGAAUGCAUAUUUAAUUAUUCAUGUAUUAACUGCAGCUAGAAUUGUAUUUGCACAGAAUUGGAAUAGUAAAGAGAUCCUUACUGAUGAGAAUGUGAUUAGGAAAAUAUUAGAAUGUGCAUAAAUGAACAGAUUAAUGCUUGCAAUUAAGGAGAAAGAACAAACUGAAUAUUAUAUGAGAUGGGAAUUAUUUUAUCAAUGCUUAAGAGAAUAAAAAUGGAAGUUGGAAACAAAAGGAGAUUGAAGAGUAGAAAAUAUGUUAGGAUAGGGAUGUAAACAAUAUGAUGAUUGUUAUUAUUAUGACUAUUAGGAUUAUUAUGCUUAAUAUUAUUAUUUUAUUCUUAUUAGAAAAUACGUUAAGAGGGAAAAAUGAAUAGGUAUACUAUGUUCAAUGCUACAAUGGUAAGAUCAGAGAAUUAAUAUCAAUGUAAUGAAUGCUGUUGUAAAUCUUGAUGGUUAUUGCACAGAGAUAUUUGUACCCAGACAACACACUGUUUAAGGAAAGAUGGAAUGUUUAUAUUAAAAAAAUAAAAAUUAAUUUAAAAAAUUGCAUCAUCCAUUAAUUCCUUUCUUUCCAAUUCUUUACAAAUGUCCUCACUUUACUGGUCAGUUUUAACCAGAAUAUUUUUCUGUUUCUUAAUAUGCUUAAUUACAGCUACAUCUCCUUCAACUGAGAAUUAUCGUAUUUUUCAGACUACAAAACACAACCUU